GCGGCAACAGCUCAAAUUUGAAAUCUGGGUCUUUCAGGCUCCGAGUUGUAAUUUGUAGAGGGUGCUUUGGUGUUGGCUGCGGUCUAAGUUCCUUGGAACAGGACGUCACAGAGGGUGAGAAUCCCGUACGUGGUCGACAGUCUCCACCGUGUAAAGCCCCUUCGACGAGUCGAGUUGUUUGGGAAUGCAGCUCUAAAUGGGAGGUAAAUUUCUUCUAAAGCUAAAUAUUGGCCAGAGACCGAUAGCGCACAAGUAGAGUGAUCGAAAGAUGAAAAGCACUUUGGAAAGAGAGUCAAAAAGCACGUGAAAUUGUUGAAAGGGAAGCGCUUGCAAUCAGACUUGCCUGUAGUUGCUCAUCUAGGCUCUUGCCUGGUGCACUCUUCUGCGGGCAGGCCAGCAUCAGUUCAGGCGGCUGGAUAAAGGCCUCUAUCACGUAUCUUCCUUCGGGAAGACCUUAUAGGGGAGGUGUAAUGCAGCCAGCCUGGAUUGAGGUCCGCGCAUCUGCUAGGAUGCUGGCGUAAUGAUUGUAAGCGGCCCGUCUUGAAACACGGACCAAGGAGUCUAACAUCUAUGCGAGUGUUUGGGUGUAAAGCCCGGGCGCGUAAUGAAAGUGAACGGAGGUGGGAACCUUAGGGUGCACCAUCGACCGAUCCUGAUGUCUUCGGAUGGAUUUGAGUAAGAGCAUAGCUGUUGGGACCCGAAAGAUGGUGAACUAUGCCUGAAUAGGGUGAAGCCAGAGGAAACUCUGGUGGAGGCUCGCAGCGGUUCUGACGUGCAAAUCGAUCGUCAAAUUUGGGCAUAGGG
rnacentral:rRNA from 1 species